CCAAAGCCUAAGCCAUUCUCUCCCAAAACAAAAUCAUCUAACUAUUCUCUCUCUCUCUCUCUCUCUCUCUCCGCGACCGCCUCGCAUCGCAAUCCCUGCAAUUCCCUCACUCUCAGAUUCUCUUCCUUUCUCAAUUCUCACCCUUCUCUUUCUCUCUCUACUUUCUUUUUCUCUCUCUCUUCGCCGCUUUCGCCACAUCUCGCCGCGCUCUCUUCGCCGCCGCUGAACCCCCGCCCAAGAUCCCCGCGGCGUUUCCGCGGGAUUUCUCUAGGGUUUUCUGAUCGUCCCUUUCCGUUCCCUGUCUUCUUCCACGACGUUGUUUUCCAAUUGCUGUCACUCUGUAGCGUCCGCGAGCCGUCAUGGCUCCCGCGCGUCGACGCGGAGCGAACAAGGCUAAGGCCAAUGGGCACUUGAGUUUGGGUGAUCUCGUUCUCGCUAAGGUCAAGGGCUUCCCCGCAUGGCCUGCUAAGAUAAGCAGGCCCGAAGAUUGGGAGAAAACCCCUGAUCCGAAGAAAUAUUUUGUUCAAUUCUUUGGUACUAAAGAAAUAGCUUUUGUUGCCCCUGCGGAUAUUCAAGAAUUUACCAGUGAGGCUAAAAAUAAAUUGUCUGCUCGGCUUCAUGGCAAGACAAAGUACUUUACUCAAGCUGUGAAGGAAAUAUGUGCAGCGUUUGAUGAGGUACAGAAACAGAAGGUCAGUGGUUUGACAGAUGACACAGAUGAUUCUCAUAUUGGUUCAGAGGCUCCUUCUGUUGAUGGGGUAGUAGGUAACCUAAAGGAUGCCACUGAUGCUGUGGUAUCAAAUGCUGACAAAAAUAGCAUUAAUAUGGGUAACGUUGGCUCUAAUUUGGAGCACUGUUCACACAGAAAAGGAGAAAGUGAUAGCCAAGAUGAAAAGCUCUCUGUACCUGAACAUCCAAAUGAAAGUUCUGUUUCAUCACCUGUGAUCAAAAGUAAGUUAUCCAUUGGUUCAGAGCCCAAAAAGAAUGCUAACAAAUCUAGUCUAAAAGGUGCUAGUAAUGUUAAUGAUUUUGGGCAAGAUGAUAAUGGACAUGGUGAUUUAACAAAUGGGAGCAAACCAAGAAAACUUGUUAAUGGAUCACGGAGGAGAAAUGAAGCUGCAGGUGAUAGGGAUAGAGAUGGUGGAUCAUCUGCUGGAACAUUUUUGAAGGAGGGAAAUUCUACUGGCUGUGGUGAUCUUUCUAGGUCUGGAGAGACAUUGAAAGCUGGGAAAAAAGGGAAAAAUGCAUUUGCUGUUAAAUUAGAUUCUCCAGAUACUCUUAAAUCAGACAAUAAUGGUAAUACUGGAGAAAAAGAUAACAACUUGAUAAAAGUCAAAACAAGCCUUGAGGUAAAAAAUGAGUUGCAGGAGAUCUUGUUUGAUUCUGGGGAGGCUGAUGGCAAAAACUCAUGUAUGCAGAAAAAGUCCCAACUUUAUGCGAAGCAUAAUGUGGGACCAAAUGAAUCUGUUCGUGCUACCAAGAAGUUGAAGCGUACGGAUGCUAAACAUGAUUCAACUUUAGGAUAUGCCUCAAAAGAAUUGAAAAGAGCUUCACCUGGCUCUACUGGUAUUGAAGAUAAACCAUUUAAAAAAUUAGAGUUGAAAAAGUCUACACCAAAUUUGAAAACUGAAAAAAGCUUGCCAUCUAGGGUUCAAAUUGGUGUUGGAGCUUCUGAUGAUUCUGUCCAUGAAAAAAAAGUUAUGCCUGAUUCUGCUAGUAUUGCUUCUGAUGAAAAAAAAGAAAGGAGUUCUCUUAGACUCAAAGGGGAUACAAAUAAUCUUGUGAUAAAACAAGUAGAGAGGAAACGUAGAGCUGUUUGCCUUUUUGAUGAUGAUGAUGAUGGUGAACCCAAAACUCCUGUUCAUGGAGGGGCUGCAAAAAAUAUUAAGUCAUCUGUUGUUAUUUCAGAGGUCAAGAAGAGCAACAGUGCACACUUGGAGAAGUCUGGUGUUGCUCAGCUGGUCCAAAGAAAUUCUAGUGAACUUGAGGAUACCCAUUUGAAAGAACCAUCUUCUCAAUUACAUGAUGACAAUCUGUCAAUUAAGCAGACUCUGAAAGAGACAGAUGAUGAUGUAAUUCCUGUGCAUGUUGCUCAAAGUCCAGAUAAAUUAGAUUCUAAACAGUUUCCCUCUAAGGUGACCAAAUUAAGCUCUGUCUCUCCAGUAAAAUCACCUCUGUCUGCUGUAACUAAGUCAAAUGCUGAGCGGAACAAAUCUUCCAAACCAUCACAUAAAGUUUCUGGUAAUGCUACUCAAAAGAGGUCUGAUCACGGGGCUUCUAAAUUUUCACAAAGCCUCAGCUCGUCCCAGAAUCAAGUUGCAACACAUAAAAAGAAGCUUGCAUCUUCUGCAGAAAUUUCUAAAACUACUCCAAAGACAUUGCCACAGGCAGUUGAUGUUCCUGCUUCAGUGGUUGGUUUUAAGGAGCCUGAUGCUUUACAUGUUGAUCGAUUAGAGAUGGGCAUGGAAGAGAAAAGUAGCAUAUAUACUGGUUCUGGGACUCCUGAAACUGCUAAAACUAUGAAGCAUCUGAUUGCGGCUGCCCUGGCCAAAAGGAGAGAAACUCAUUCUCAAUGUCUUCCUUUUGGCAUUCACAAUUUUCAGGGGGAGACUUCUAGCCCCUCCACAGUUCAGCCAUUUCUGUCUGUCCCUAGCAAUUUAGUGCAGGCAGAUGUACAGGGAGUUUAUGAGCACACAACAUUGGCUUCUCCACCAACUAAUGAGCAUCAUUCUGCUUCUCGUAAUCAACUUGAUGCUGAUGAAAUUGAGGAGAGAAGAGUUGGUUCAGUGCAAAGGGGGCCAGGAGGCUCACUGAGUGGUGGUACUGAGGCUGCUGUUGCUCGUGAAGCUUUUGAAGGAAUGAUUGAGACUUUGUCAAGGACCAAGGAAAGUAUAGGCCGUGCAACUCGUCUUGCCAUCGAUUGUGCCAAGUAUGGCAUAGCCAACGAGGUUGUUGAACUUCUCAUCCGAAAGCUGGAAAAUGAAACUAGUUUUCAUCGGAAAGUGGAUUUGUUUUUCCUUGUUGAUUCUAUAACUCAGUGCUCACAUAAUCAAAAAGGCAUUGCAGGAGCCUCCUAUGUCCCUUCAGUUCAAGCAGCAUUGCCACGUCUUCUUGGUGCUGCUGCUCCGUCAGGAGCUAGUGCCCGCGAAAAUCGUCGCCAGUGUCUCAAGGUUUUGAGGCUGUGGCUUGAGAGGAAAAUUUUUCCUGAAUCAAUUCUUCGCCGUUAUAUGGAUGAUAUUGGAGGUUCAAAUGAUGAUAUGACAAUUAGCUUUUCUCUUAGACGUCCAUCUCGAGCAGAGCGAUCUGUGGAUGAUCCAAUUAGAGAAAUGGAAGGCAUGCUUGUUGAUGAGUAUGGAAGUAAUGCUACAUUUCAGCUGGAUGGAUUUUUAUCUUCACAUGCAUUUGAAGAAGAUGAAGAUGAAGAUGAUUUACUAAUCAAUUCUUGUAAGGAAACAUAUGAUGCGUCUCCAGUAGAUCCCCCCCACACCCUUGGCGAAUCUGAAACUUCUACAGUUACCCCAAAUGACAAGCGCCAUUGUAUUUUAAAGGAUGUGGAUGGUGAGCUGGAAAUGGAAGAUGUUUCCGGACAUCCAAAGGAUGAAACUCCUGUAUUUUUGAACAGUGCUGAUGAAAUUGAUUUGCAUCUUCAGAGCUCAGAUAGGAAUUUAGAUCCAACUUCAAACAUUUCAGAAGAGAUGCCAGCUACUCCGGAGGGUUCUCCUCCUUUGCCACUUGAUUCACCUCCUCCACCCCCACCUUUGCCUUCUUCACCUCCACCACCUCCUCCUCCAUUAUCUCCAUCUCCGCCACCACCCCCGCCACCCCCAAUGUUGCAACCUCCACCUCCUCCUUUACCACCCUCAGCUCCUCCAGUGUCAUUGGUCCCUCAAUCAUCUGGAUCAGCUCGGCCUUCACUUUUCUCCCAGUCACUAAUGCCACCUCAGUCGUCGCAUCAGUCGUCUCCACAGUUGGGGUGUCAGCAGAACGUACCUCAUGACUUUGGUGGCACUGCUAGUGGUAACCAAAUAGUUCCAGUAGCUGGAAAUUCUUUUCCUGGAGGUCACAGUAAUCCAGUUGUCAAGAAUGACGUAUUUCUUCAGCCAUCUGCCUUUGCCCCAACGGCAGGCUGCAGCUCCCAGGAACCAUCUGGUUUUAACCAUUCAAGGCAAUUAGAAUAUGGACAGAAUGAUAUGUAUCUAAAUUCUCAGGUUCCUCAAGCUAACCAUCAAUUUCAGCAGGGUAACCCAUUUGCUCAGAGACAUCCACAUCCUGCCCCACCCCAAAAUCCAUCAAAUCAGUACUCAUAUCCAAAUCCUUCAGUUCAGCAACAUCUUCCACAUUCAUUCCAUCCCCCCUUCCCUUUACCAUCCCUUCCAGAUGGCCGGAGACCAUUUAUUACUGAUGAGCAAUGGAGAAUGUCAUCAAGUGAAUUUAAAACAAACAAUCAACAUGGUGUAUGGAUAGGGAGGAAUCCUUCAUGUCCUGGGCCACCCUAUGGGCAAGAAGGUCAUUUUCGUCCACCACUUGAAAGACCACCAGUAAGCACUGUGGGUUUUCAGCGAGCAAUGUCAAGCAACCUACCUGUUGCUCCAAUAUCAGGACAUGGUGUUCCUCAGAUGAUGCCCUGUAGACCAGACAUUCCUGCUGUUAAUUGUUGGAGACCCACUUGAAGUUGGUUGGAGUCUUCUUAUUAAUAUGAUGUUGCUGGUGGAUCAACAUGCAAGGUUAAAUUGUGCCCCAAAGUUAGAUUCACCUGUGUAGUACAUACAACUUACCUGUGAAGAAAAUUUUGAGAACUUGUGGAGGCUUUUGACAGGAUUGUGUAUAUUGUAAUUUUUCCUGACAAUGUAUCCCAGGAACAUUUGCUUCCAAGUUUAGGCCCAUGUUUUUGACUUGGUUUUGGCAAAACAAAAGAAGGUGAUGAUCAUUUUCUCAUGUUUAGAAUGUGAUAACUGAACAAAGAUUACGGUCAAACUUCACAUACAAGGACUGCUGAUCAUUGAGAAAAUUGCAUCUCCAACGGGAUGGUUUGAAAUGCACACCACAGAAAAGAGAGGACCAAUGAAGAGUGUUUUAUGAAUAAUGGAAUCACAGCUAUCAAGUUUAGACUCUGAACUUUUGUUGAGAGGGUGUUAUGGAAAAUGCUAGGCUGGGAUCCCAAUUUUGCCGAACAAAACGUCUAUUUGGGAGAUGGGACUCAUUGACAAGAACAAGGGGCUGACACUUUAAAAAAUUACGGUAAAAAUAUCUAAAUUUAAAAUAAUUUCUGAAUAGCUUGCAAAAAACAGUGCACUACGGUACUGUACUGUACUUUUUUUCAAUUUAUUUUCCGCGUUAAUGAUUCAUUAUAUCUGUUCAAUUUGAUUUUUUUUAUUCUUCAGUUAAUACAAGUCUUAUUUCUUUCCAAAUUAUAAUGUGUUUUUAUCUUUAGAAAGUUCCUAUAGCAUUACUAUCAAUAAAAACUGCGUUCAAAAUGUUAUUGAUCAUUGAGACCGUGGAAACCAUGAACAAUAUAUAGCGUUUUUAUAUUUAAUAAUUAUCAUUUAGUAAUUCCAUCCCAUUGGCAAAGCUUGUGAAAGAAUUUAGAAACUUCAAAUAAAAAAUUAAAAGCUUUCUGAUUAGUCAGAAUAUAGUUUACAAUUAUUAAGCUAUCAUAUUGAAGCCUUUCCGGUGCUUAUUCAGUAAUAAUUGGGUCAUCUAUUUAUAUCCCGUUUCGGAACGAUUACCAAAGAUUCUUUUACUAAUCUCAGCCAGAGGAACAUGCAAAACAAACCGAGUAGAAAAUUUCCUGAAGUUAUCUGCUACACAAACACACACAGGGUCCCUGCUCACAGAUUAAUAAGUGUAUUUUUUAUUUAUUUAUUUUUUCUAACAUUGUUUGACCUCAAAUCAACCCACUGGUGUUGCGGCCAAUGAUUUGAGAACCUGACAGAUGGGAUCAAAAUUGGUCUGAUAACUACAUACUCUAAUCAAGUGCGUCUUCAAUCAUUUCUUCGACCGGUAAAAGGGUUUUUGUACUUUGGUACUCCUCCAACUUGGGGAUGGCCGGAUGGAUGAUCUCGAUCUUGUGAACAUGAAGAGCUGAAUGAUUUUCUUACCCCAGGUGGCCCAUCAUUUAGAAAAUCAUCGUCAUAAUCAUUGGCACCUGUGUUAAAACCCCCUGAUUCUAGUCAGUUGUCAACGAAAGUCGGCUACCAGCUUUCUGCCUCUGAGCUAGGCCCUUUGCCGAUCUUGCUGAAAACCCACCAUUGGUGCUAUUGUCAUGCUUCAAGAUCAACUCUGGAAUAGCCUUAAGGUUAACCUCAGAUUUAUGGUAACGACUCAGAGAUCGGUUGGACUUUAGUGAGUUGCUACAGUAAAAUGAACCAUUUUCUGAAGAAUUAGAAGCUCCUUUUCCUUUCUCUGCCAGGUCGAAUAUUUCAGAUAUGGAUUUCUUCAUUGUUGGUUUAGUUCCGUAGUAAUUCUGUAAAGAACUAAUGGCUGGGGAGAGUUUCUGCUCGGAGGACUUCCUUCUCAGGGACUGGAAUGAUUCAAGCGGUUCACCGCGUGCAUUAUCAGUUGGACUGUGGUCGGGGUUAUCUUGUCUGAAGGGAAAAUUUUGAUGCCCAUCAGUGAUUAGAUGUAAAAUUAACAUGAAAUCACUCAACUCAAGUAAUGAUAUUGAAAGAAAAUCUGUAUUGAGUAUACAAUAAAGCUAAUAGUCAAAUUUAUAUGCCUGAUUAAUAUUUAUAUUAAAGAAAAUGGCUCUGAAAUUAUCUAGAUGGUACAGAAUAUCAUACAAAAUGGCCAAAAUGACAUACUGUUAUAGUAAUUACGAAUUCCAGAGGAUUCAAUCUGAAGCAGGCACGCCAUGAACUUUAAAUUCUUGUUAAAGAAUGAUUAAACUAUUAAACUCCUAACAGAUAGCCCCCAUUAAGGUAUGUUUCCCCUUUUUGGCAUACAAAAUACACCUUUUGAAUUUAUGAAUACUAACCAACCAAAAAGGUUAAGUGAUCAACUCGUUGUACUUAAUACUGUUCCUGAAUUGAAUAAACGUACCCUGUAGUAGACGGAGGGUGCCUUCCAUGUGGUGGAAUGUGGAGAAUCUUAAGAGCAAACAUUUGACUUUCAGUAACUAAUCCAUUCAUCUUUUUUAUCUCCGCAACCUACAAUUUUCCAAAGCAGAAAUUGCAACUUCAAUAUAACUCAAAUUAAGAGAAAUUUCCAAAUUCAGCACAACUUUUUUUUCUCUCGUAUACGAAGUGGUAGAGGAAUGGUUCAACCAAUAAUGAUAUUAUGAUGGAGCCAAAUAAUCAAACUAUCAAAGAAAGCAUCUUGGGUGUAAAGAUUACACACAAUAAAGGUUUCAAAACCAUUUCAAAUCAUAAAAGAAUGGUUGGCAUAAGAGAAAACUUUCCGAUAUCGAUCUCUAUUGAUUAUACCUUUUCCACCAAAAAUAUAACAAAGGGUUAGAAAGAGGGUGCAUGAGUGCAUCCGCCUAUGCUAUAUGAUAAGCACAAGCAACGCAGAACUUGAUUAACAUCACGGUUUCGUCAUCAAAUUCCUA